rnacentral:ncRNA from 3 species
UACGUAGGGCGCGAGCGUUGUCCGGAAUUAUUGGGCGUAAAGAGCUUGUAGGCGGUUUGUUGCGUCUGCUGUGAAAGACCGGGGCUUAACCCCGGUAUUGCAGUGGGUACGGGCAGACUAGAGUGCAGUAGGGGAGACUGGAAUUCCUGGUGUAGCGGUGAAAUGCGCAGAUAUCAGGAGGAACACCGAUGGCGAAGGCAGGUCUCUGGGCUGUAACUGACGCUGAGAAGCGAAAGCAUGGGGAGCGAACAGG